GUUCUUACAAAUGGUCACCAGAAGGAGGACAAUCACAAACUGUCUCAUCCUCCUCUGCAAAUCCAACAGAAAGGACACAGUAGAGUGGGCAAGAAUGCAAAGAAGGUCUGUGGUUUGGAACUGGCCCAAGCCGAACUAAACUUUUCUAAAUAUACAUUAAACUGUCAACAAAGAGCACCGUGACCCACAGCCUGAAUAAAGGGAGAGCCCCAAGGCCCUCUGAAGCCACUAGUUCUGUGAGUUGUUUUAGGGAGAAGACAGACAACCAAGAAUUAUUUACCUUAUUAGACUGUGCCCAUCCAAGCCCAGGUAAAACUUUUUGAUCAGCAGAAAACUGGAAUUAUUUCCCUUUCUCUAUCCUGGAUUGAGUGUGAAUUCCCCAGAGAAACUUGGCUUUGAGAGCACUAGCUGGACAUAUAGGGGUCCAUUUCCAAUCUGCUCUGAGAAGGGCCCUGUCUUCAUCCUAAAGGAAGGCUUUAGAAAACUGUUAUCUAAGAUCUAGGAUUGAAGAUGGUGAGAACCUGAGGCUGAGCAAUUGGCCCCAAUUCUUCCUGAAGCAUUAUCUGAGAGAGAGAGCCUAGCCUGUGGUUUUUGACCCCUGGCAGAAGGGUGGAGAGAGGGAAGAAGAAAGAAGGAAGAUGAAGACAACUUCCUGCUCAAGACCAACCCAUCUCCCCUCAUUCUGGGGUGACCAAUUGAGAAAACAAUGAUAUCUCCCUUACUCUCAUCUGUUUCCAAAGGCUUUGCUUCAUCUACCAAAAAACCGUGUGAGUGAGAACCAUCUACCCUCAUGUGCUUAUUAAGCUCUUAGAGUCAUUCUCUGGUGACUAUAUUGAUUCAUUUAUUUGUACUCUAGGAACAUAAAACAAUAUGGCAUUAUUGACACAGAAAACAAAGAAUAGACAGAUAGCAUACAGCUGAACAACUUUAAUUACCAGGGUUCCAGUGUCUGUUUAACUAGCUGUGUAAAUAUGAGUAUUUGAAUUAAUUUUUCUAGGAUCAAUUUCCUUACUUCUAAAUGAGAAAGACGAGGCCAAAAGUUCUUAACCUUACUUCUGGCUUUACAACUGAAUGGUUCUCUGUUCCUAAUAAUGAGUUCCUUUUUUUUUUUUUUUUCUGAGACGAAGUCUCGCUCUGUCACCAGGCUGGAGUGCAGUGGCACAAUCUUGCUCACUGCAACCUCUGCCUCCCGGGUUCAAGCAAUUCUCCUGCCUCAGCCUCACGAGUAGCUGGGACUACACGCGCCUGCCACCAUACCCAGCUAAUUUUUGUAUUUUUAGUAGAGACAGGGUUUCACCAUGUUGGCCAGGAUGGUCUUGAUCUCUUGACCUCGUGAUCCGCCGGCCUCGGCCUCCCAAAGUGCUGAGAUUACAGGCGUGAGCCACCGCGCCUGGCCCUAAUAAUGAGUUCUUAUGAAUGGUAUAUGUACGCCAAAUAGAAAGCAUGCUAAUAGCUAAGAAGGAAUCGUGAAGGAUAAUGAGAAUUUGCUGCCUUUUCUAGUCAUUCUAGAGGAAUUUAUAAAUAAAUAAAAUGGUUUGAUAUGUAAGAAUAUCUGCUGAGCCAAACAGUGCACACUUCUUAGACAUAAGUUGUAGCCAAGGCAAUAAAGCUUAAGGAUGGAAUAGAAGCAUUAAGGAAAAUUUUCCUAGAAAGGAAAAAAAUGGAGGCAGAAAGGGUGGGAAAGGCAGACAGAAGUCAACUCAUAGGAAGCAGAGAGAUAAAGAGCUUUGAAAUAUAAUGUGAGGACCUAGACAUAUUUGAGAAGAGAGGUACUGGUCAAAACAAAGGACAGAGAUGGCAGAAGCCCACAGGAAACUUAUGGCCAAUGGUAGCAGUCAGUGAGGAUGAGUAGGGUAGUAAUAAUAUAUUAUAACUAAUUACUGCCAUUUAUUGAUCACUUACUAAGUAUUAAAAUUAUUUGUUAGGAAAUUUAUAAAUACCUUGUCUCCUUUCUAGAACUCUCUCCAAAGGAUAUGGUCAUAUUCAUCAUAUAGAUAAGUAAACUAAGGCUCAGGAAAAAUGACUUCCUCAAGGGCAAACCCAGGUGUUGAUCCCUAAUGAAUAUCCGGCACCCCGCAUUCCAUCUCGGUGACUGCUUCCAGAAAACACAAGCUGUGACAUGCCCAUUAUGUACUCAAUAAAUCUUUAAUAAUUGAGUGGAUAGAGUGAUGUGAGUUGAGAAGCAUUAUUAAAGAUUAUUUUCCCAAAAAUAAACAAAAAAAAUGUGCCCAUUGGCUGGUGACUAGAAUUCUACAAUUAGAGGUUUAUUCCUUUGUCUUAAUGCUUCUGCUUUUGUAAAUACCCCCGUAAUAAACGCAUGUUAAGUUUAUUAGACACCUAUUCCCCAGUGUAAACAAAGUCCUGGAAGCACAUUCUAACAGGAAGAGAGAGGGAAAAAAGUAUGAGAGCACCAAUGGACAAACAUCAGGAGCAAGUUACCUGGAUUCAGUCCUGGUUCCACCACUUGCUAGAUCUGUGUCAUUAGACCAAUCAAUUGACCUCUCUGUGCCUCCGUUUUUGUUCCUGUAAAAUGGGAACAAUAACUGUAACUACUUCCAAGUAUUGUUAUGAAAAUUGAAUGAGUUAAAAUAUAAAAAUGUUAGAGACUAGGGAAUAUGAGACUAGUCAAUGAAUGUCUAGUGGAGACAAGAAAAAGUGAACAAAAUUAUACAAGUGCUAUUAAUAAUACAGUCAGAUUUAUAUAUUUUUUCCAUCACACUGACCUCCAAUCCAGGCUGGGAAAUGGGUUUUUUAAAUCUCUUGCGUGUUUUCCAUCACUUGAACUACCAUAUUGUUUUACAAUUAUUUGUCUUGUGUCUACUGCCACCCUUACCUCACCACUGUGAGAUCCUUAGAGGUAAAAUAUUCUAUCUUAUUCAUCCUUAUAUCCCCUUCCAUUCAUCCAUUUAUUCUUUUUUUCUAACUUUUAAGUUCAUAGGUACAUGUACAGGUUUGUUACAUAGAUAAACUUGUGUCACGUGGAUUUGUUGUACGGAUUAUUUCAUCACCUAGGUAUUAACUCUAGUACCCAUUAGUUAUUUUUCCUGAUCCUCUCCCUCCUCCCACUCACUACCCUCCAGUAGGCCCCAGUGUGCGUCAUUCCCCUCUAUGUGUCCAUGUGUUCUCAUCACUUAGCUCCCACUUGUAAGUGAAAAUAUGUGGUGUUUGGUUUUCUGUUCCUGUGUUAGUUCGGUAAGGAUAAUGACCUCCAGCUCCAUCCAUGUCCCUGCAAAGGACAUGAUAUCAUUCUUUUUUAUGGCUGCAUGGUAUUCCAUGGUGUAUAUGCACCACAUUUUCUUUAUUCAGUCUAUCAUUAAUUCAUAUGUUCAUUCAUUAAAUAAAUAUUA
rnacentral:lncRNA from 1 species